UACGUAGGGUGCGAGCGUUAAUCGGAAUUACUGGGCGUAAAGCGUGCGCAGGCGGUUCGUUGUGUCCGUCGUGAAAGCCCCGGGCUUAACCUGGGAACUGCGAUGGAAACUAGCGAGCUGGAGUGUGGCAGGAGGGGGGUGGAAUUCCGCGUGUAGCAGUGAAAUGCGUAGAGAUGCGGAGGAACACCAGUGGCGAAGGCGGCUCACUGGCCCGGUACUGACGCUGAGGUGCGAAAGCGUGGGGAGCAAACAGG
rnacentral:rRNA from 1 species